CUUUUUAAUAUGUCUUAGUAGACAGGUAAAUGGGAAUUCGUAAGCAUGUCCAUAAGGAGCUUUGGACCAACAUGAUUCAAAAUUGGCGUUUCAUUUCAUCUUUGAAAUUCUCAGUUAUUGUCAUCUGAAAAAAUAUCUUGUUUACAUCUCUACUAAACUUUCUCUUUUCCAUCUAAAUCAGUCUGGGUCAAAUCAGGAUAUAGAAACCAUAGACUAAUUUGAGGAGGGAAAAUAUAAGAUAAGGCAUCAUAGACUACAGCAGGAAACUGGAGUAAUGCAUGAUUGGCUAGUAAGCAGGACAGAAAGCUUUAUCUUUUUGUCUUUUUGUCUUUCCCAGAGCCACACCCGAAGCGUAUGGAGGUUCCCAGGCUAGGGGUCUAAUUGGAGUUGUAGUCGCCAGCCUACACCACAACCACAGCAACGCGGGAUCCGAGCCGCAUCUGCCACCUACAGCGCAGCUCUUGGCAACGCUAGAUCCUUAACCCACUGAGCGAGGCCAGGGAUCGAACCCUCAACCUCAUGGUUCCUAGUCAGAUUUUUUAACCACUGAGCCACGAUGGGAACUCCCAAGGACAGAAAACUUUAAAGAAUAAUAUAUCUAAUCACUUGUGAUAGAACAUGGUGGAGGAUAAUGUGAGAAGAGUGUGUAUAUAUGUAUGACUAGAUCAGUUUACUGUACAGCAGAAAUUGAUGAAACAUUGUAAAUCAACUACAAUAAUUUUUUAAAAAAUAAAAAUAAAUAAUAUAGGAGUAGCAAAUUUAUAAAAUAACAGUGGAAAUAAUAUAAUAUGCCACUACUCAGAAGGCUGAUAUAGCUGCCAGGUAAAAGUUAAUUCCACCCCAGAAAUGAGAUUCAGAUCUUGUUAGAGAGAUCAUAACUGUGACUCACUAUAUAAUAGGUAAGUUGCUGUAGAGAUAGCAGAACUUGCAGGAAAUCCUCUCUCUAGUAUGCCAGGAAAAGCUUUUCACAGGGAGGUAUCUCAUCAGAGAUAUUCACUACAAAAUUUUCCGAUGAGGUUGCUGGCAGAAGGUGCUGGCUUUGGGUGAUGAUAGGUACUGUAAAUUGAAGGAGCCAGGCACUGGGGAAACCAUGUGCACUGUAGGCAACUGAUGCUAGAGAAGGGCUCACAGGUGCUACACAGGGCUGCCAAGGGAGAAUACCCAAACCAGGAAGCAAAAUUAUUUUCUCUUGCAGUGUCUCUCCAUUACCCUUGACUGAUAAAACUUAUCAUCAUGGUAGCUGGCAGAGAAAAGAUAUAUUUGAAAGUCCAAGAUUCGUUUUUACAAUGAAUUUGUGAGCAGGCAAAAAGGGUGAAUUUAGUGCUAAAAGACAGUAGAUAAAUUACUUGAUAAAACCCUUUUCUGGCACUUCUUCCUUUGUCCAGGCAUGGAAAGGACAAAGAGCUUCCUCUCUAUACUUUGAAUUUUGGGCUUUCAUUUCUUAGCACUGUACAUAAGGAAAAUAACUUUGUUGCAUUGUAUGUUCCUUAACUGGCAAAGCAGCUGGAAUAUAGAAAGGACUCAACAAAUAUUUUUGACUUAAUGAGUGAAUGCUGAAUAAGGUAAUACCCAAGUCUAAAUCAUAACAUGAUGCUUUUCCCUAAGCUACUGGACACAUUCCCCUGAAUGACCUGCAUGUACUUCAAGCUGAACUCAUUGCUGUCCAGAUCUGCUCUGCUUUCUAUAUUCUCUGUGUGGGUAAGUGGUGCCACUUCUUGCACAGUGAAAUAGGUCAUUUCAUAUGUAAUUAGUCAAGUUAAUAUCAGGUUGUACCUAAAUUAAGUGCAUCUAUCAUGACCUAUUUCCAAAUAAGUUCACUUUCUGAUGUACUGGAGGGUUAGGUCUUCAGCAUACCUUUCUAGGGACACAAUUCAACCCAUAACAUGUGGGAAGCAAGACGGUUUUGAUAUGAAAGUUACAUGAUGUGACUAAAAAUACUUUUUCAACUACUGUGUUUAGAGACCAAAGGGCACAAAGUUGGAAGCAGGGAGACCAAUGAUGCCAGUUUUUUAUCAAAACCUUUAAAUACUACAGAUAGAAAUAAAAACAUUAAUUCCAAUAAUUCUUGAUUCUUUUUUUCUUUCAAACUCAUUAAAGUACAAAUGUUGAACAUUUAUAGUAAUGAGGUGAAAUGUCUGAUAAAAUCGUGGUUAUUGUUAUAAAUUCAGUUAAAUGGUUGACAUAUAGAAUAGAAUGAAGUGAUGCCAAGAAAACAAAUUUUGUUGCAGAAAAUUUGAGAUUAAAAUUGUUAAAUUAGGAGUUCCCGUCGUGGCUCAGUGGUUAACGAAUCCGACUAGGAACCAUGAGGUUGCGGGUUCGAUCCCUGCCCUUGCUCAGUGGGUUAAUGAUCCAGUGUUGCCGUGAGCUGUGGUGUGGGUCACAGACGCGGCUCGGAUCCCAUGUUGCUGUGGCUCUGGCGUAGGCCGGUGGCUACAACUCCAAUUAGACCCCUAGCCUGGGAGCCUCCAUAUGCCGUGGGAGAAGCCCAAGAAAUGGCAAAAAGACAAAAAGACCAAAAAAAAAAUGUUAAAUUACUACUGACUGUAGUCCAAGUAUUUGGUGUCAGAACUGGUAUUGAGUACAAAAAUGUCUUAUAGUGUAGGAAUGCUUUCUCUCUUUGAUGUUCAUGUAGAGAUAUUUGAGCCUUUGAUGAAUUACUUUGUAUGUGAAUAUAAAAGUCCUUUAAUAGUAUUGAAUGAUUUUGUACAAAACCUUCUAAAUUUUCUGUAUUUCUUUUUUAGUGAGGCAAUUGUUUAUUUAAAGAGAGAAGACAGGCAGGCUGGUGGUAAGGUGAAAAGGGAAAGAGAAAGAUGAGACAGAGAGAGAAAAAGCAAGAGAGGAAGAGAGAGGAAGAGCUAAUGCUUUCUCUCUUUGAUGUUCAUGUAGAGAUAUUUGAGCCUUUGAAGAAUUACUUUGUAAGUGAAUACAAAUGUCCCUUAAUAGUAUUGAAUAAUUUUUUACAAUUUUCUAAAUUUUGUAUAUUGUGUUCUCUAAGAUUUAGCAACAUUUUUAUUUUCAGAAAUCCUGGUUAACUUAUCUCUAACUUUAGACAU
rnacentral:lncRNA from 1 species